rnacentral:lncRNA from 1 species
UUGCUUUCAUACACGUUUUUGCUGUUUACUAAGUUGUCUAUUUGCAUGUAUUGCAUGGCAGGGGAUAUUACAGGUGCAGCAGCUCAAAAGGUUGCCCUGCUAGGAAACAAGUUGAGCGGAGCCACCUUGAUCCCACCAUGCUCCUCAUCACCUACUAUUGUGACCACAACCACCCUCUCCUCGCCACCACAAAAUACGACCACCACCACUCUGCCACGCCAGCGGCCGCCUCCACCUCCUCGUCCGCCACUACUGUUCCCGCCGAGGAAGAAUGUGCUACAUUUGCCAACCGGCCAAAACUCGAGCAGGAGGACAGUGUCUUCACCGAGCUCGCUGUCGAGUUUGGCUGGUUGGCCGAUGUUGGGCGUACAGUACUGGAUAGUCCUGUUAUUUUGGGUUCCACUUGGGCACAAGCCGACUUGGAAGUGUUCAUGCCAAUUGGAGAAGAGGAUGAGUUUUUGUAUGGUGAUUUGGGGGAUUUGCCGGAGUCCUCACAGGUUUUCCGGCGUUGCAGUACAGAGACACCAUGCUAUGGCGGCACAGGAUAAAUAUGUUGAUGAAUUGACUUCCAAUGUGAUAGUUUCAAACGUGAAUAUCAAUAAUAAAUUGAAAGUUGGCAUAGGUUGCGCCACAAUAUAUGCUAAAAGUUUCCGUGGU